GUUAGACUCGGCUCUGCCUGCUGCACCAGACCGGAAAGCUUUUUGGGGGAGCCAAAAACCAGACUGGCUCAUUCAUAACUGCCAAACACUUUAGGAAAGCCCCACAACUAAAGACACAAAACCAACAAGCAGAUAUAUGGAUGCGUGGAUGAAAUCUGGAGAACAUCGAUAAGAGGCUGCAUCAAUUAUGCCGCUCUGCAGGCAUGUCAGCACGAAUCAUCUCUCCGUUUCUUCUGAGUGCUCAGAGCUGAACUCCCACAGGCACCUUCUGUACAUUCAGGCUUUUCCUUUGACAGCAUUCGUCCCAGCAACCUGC